UACGGGGGGGGUAAGCGUUGUUCGGAAUUACUGGGCGUAAAGGGCUCGUAGGCGGCCAACUAAGUCAGACGUGAAAUCCCUCAGCUUAACUGGGGAACUGCGUCUGAUACUGGAUGGCUUGGAUGUGGGAGAGGGAUGCGGAAUUCCAGGUGUAGCGGUGAAAUGCGUAGAUAUCUGGAGGAACACCGGUGGCGAAGGCGGCAUCCUGGACCAUUAUUGACGCUGAGGAGCGAAAGCCAGGGGAGCAAACGGG
rnacentral:rRNA from 1 species